AUUCUUUUGAUCACAUUUGUAUACAUGAUUAAUAUUAGUACAAGUAAUUAUAUUUAUUAGUCUAAAACUAAUUAGAGGGUUGCGAUGCAUUGAUAUUGUUGGAUGGUGAGAACAAUUUUUUCCUAAGUGAACUUUGAAUACUUUUUUUGUGCAAGAAGUUGGGCAUGAGCUAAACAUGUAAAGGAAAGGUAUGUAGAUCAGCAUCUGCGUUUAGAGGGCAUGGUGACAUGCGUGCGACUUUGUUGGAAUGGUAGCCGACUUAAAAAGUAUUGAAUGAUGGGAUCCCUUGAAGCUAUGACAAAAGGAAGUGAUGCUCGGUAGCUCGCGGGUACAGCUAGAAUUAAGAUUGUUCAAGGGGUUGUUGGUGCCAUUGCAGAUAAGGGUUAUGUGUCAAAGUUCAUUUCAUACACUAUGCAAACGAUUCCGCGAUUUCUUGGAUCUUGGUGCUUCUUUCUUGAAGUGAGCUCAUGAUUUGUGGGGUUUAGGACUUUGAGGCUGGAGGUAUGGCUUAGUGUUAAUUGGGUAACGAUUGGGGGAUUGAAUAACCUACAACUAUUCAUGGAAAUAAAAAAAGGACUUAAGAAGAAAAGGUCAGUCUUAGUAUUGGAAACAAUAAAUUAUCACUACUCAGUGUUGCCAUGGGAGUGCAGGUAGUCCAGAAAAUAAUCAGAUAGUUAGCAGGAAAUUCAUUUUACCCGAACUUUAGAAACUCAUAUAAUCGUAAUAUAAUUCAUUUUGGAAUGCAGAUCCAAACAACCUCACUAUUGAGUAAAUUUGUGAAAGUGAACAUACUUGAUGAAUUGGAUGGUAUGUUUAAACAUAGUGGACACUCGAGUAGGUCAUGGACUAUUGGACUGCACUUUUUGAAACCAUCCCAUGCUUAUGUUUUAGCUUCUUUCGUGCUGUAAAAAUAUUUGUUUGCUACCUAACGUUGCUAAACUUCUUCAAUGGUGCAUUACAGGACACAUGUUCUUUUGUAAGCCUUUAUAUGUUGCCUUUUCUCAAAGAAAGGAAGAGAGACAAGGAUAAUUACAAACAACGUGAAGUUGUGAACAACGUAUGGCUGGACUAUUUGGCCCGUCUUCUGCCAUCGAUGGAGAUUCCUAACGACGGUCUGGGACUCUAUUGACAAGUUAGAGGGACAAUGAAUAUGUAUAUGCAGAACCUACAAAAUGGUUUUAUUGCUCCAUAUGUGUUGCACUUGCAACAACCUACUCAUACAUCAAGGGAAUCAUCUAGCAAGCAAAAGGUGUAUUUUGGGAAACCUUGGACAUGUUCGUGCCAUAUCUUCAUAAGGUUUUCAUGGAUAUUCAGGUUAUAGUGUUUCACCCCAUCUGUGUUUAGUUUCAAAUGGUGGGUUAGAGCUUUAGUUGUAGCAGUUUUGAGUGCCAAGAGUUGGCACAAAAGCUUUAUUUGUUACAUGUCGCUUAUGUAUUUAGGGGAGGUACAUGUAUUGCUAUUGGUAUAUUUUGCUUAUUUGUUUGCA